GAGUUUGAUCAUGGCUCAGAUUGAACGCUGGCGGCAGGCCUAACACAUGCAAGUCGAACGGUAACAGGAAGCAGCUUGCUGCCUCGCUGACGAGUGGCGGACGGGUGAGUAAUGUCUGGGAAGCUGCCUGAUGGAGGGGGAUAACUACUGGAAACGGUAGCUAAUACCGCAUAAUGUCGCAAGACCAAAGAGGGGGACCUUCGGGCCUCUUGCCAUCGGAUGUGCCCAGAUGGGAUUAGCUUGUUGGUGGGGUAACGGCUCACCAAGGCGACGAUCCCUAGCUGGUCUGAGAGGAUGACCAGCCACACUGGAACUGAGACACGGUCCAGACUCCUACGGGAGGCAGCAGUGGGGAAUAUUGCACAAUGGGCGCAAGCCUGAUGCAGCCAUGCCGCGUGUAUGAAGAAGGCCUUCGGGUUGUAAAGUACUUUCAGCGGGGAGGAAGGGAGUAAAGUUAAUACCUUUGCUCAUUGACGUUACCCGCAGAAGAAGCACCGGCUAACUCCGUGCCGGCAGCCGCGGUAAUACGGAGGGUGCAAGCGUUAAUCGGAAUUACUGGGCGUAAAGCGCACGCAGGCGGUUUGUUAAGUCAGAUGUGAAAUCCCCGGGCUCAACCUGGGAACUGCAUCUGAUACUGGCAAGCUUGAGUCUCGUAGAGGGGGGUAGAAUUCCAGGUGUAGCGGUGAGAUGCGUAGAGAUCUGGAGGAAUACCGGUGGCGAAGGCGGCCCCCUGGACGAAGACUGACGCUCAGGUGCGAAAGCGUGGGGAGCAAACAGGAUUAGAUACCCUGGUAGUCCACGCCGUAAACGAUGUCGACUUGGAGGUUGUGCCCUUGAGGUGUGGCUUCCGGAGCUAACGCGUUAAGUCGACCGCCUGGGGAGUACGGCCGCAAGGUUAAAACUCAAAUGAAUUGACGGGGGCCCGCACAAGCGGUGGAGCAUGUGGUUUAAUUCGAUGCAACGCGAAGAACCUUACCUGGUCUUGACAUCCACGGAAGUUUUCAGAGAUGAGAAUGUGCCUUCGGGAACCGUGAGACAGGUGCUGCAUGGCUGUCGUCAGCUCGUGUUGUGAAAUGUUGGGUUAAGUCCCGCAACGAGCGCAACCCUUAUCCUUUGUUGCCAGCGGUCCGGCCGGGAACUCAAAGGAGACUGCCAGUGAUAAACUGGAGGAAGGUGGGGAUGACGUCAAGUCAUCAUGGCCCUUACGACCAGGGCUACACACGUGCUACAAUGGCGCAUACAAAGAGAAGCGACCUCGCGAGAGCAAGCGGACCUCAUAAAGUGCGUCGUAGUCCGGAUUGGAGUCUGCAACUCGACUCCAUGAAGUCGGAAUCGCUAGUAAUCGUGGAUCAGAAUGCCACGGUGAAUACGUUCCCGGGCCUUGUACACACCGCCCGUCACACCAUGGGAGUGGGUUGCAAAAGAAGUAGGUAGCUUAACCUUCGGGAGGGCGCUUACCACUUUGUGAUUCAUGACUGGGGUGAAGUCGAAACAAGGUA
rnacentral:rRNA from 1 species